GGCUGGAUAGCUCAGUGGUUAACCUUCGGGUUAGAGCAUCUCACAUGGCAUGAGGAAGGUCCUGGGUUCAAUUCCCAGUCCAACCA